rnacentral:rRNA from 1 species
GACGAACGCUGGCGGCGUGCUUAACACAUGCAAGUCGAACGAAGUGGCGAACGGGUGAGUAAGGCGUAAUCAACCUGACCUUCAGAGGGGGACAACAGUUGGAAACGACUGCUAAUACCGCAUACUGAAGGUGGGGUGUGCGUCUGAUUAGCUAGUUGGGGGGGUAACGGCCCACCAAGGCGAGUAUCAGUAGCCGGUCGUGGGUGAUGAACGGCACCAUUGGGACUGGGAAACGGCCCAGACUCCUACGGGAGGCAGCAGUGGGGAAUCUUCCGCAAUGGACGAAAGUCUGACGAAGCAACGCCGCGUGAGUGAUGACGGCCUUCGGGUUGUAAAGCUCUGUUAAUCGGGACGCGGUACCGGAAUAGAAAGCCACGGCUAACUACGUGCCAGCAGCCGCGGUAAUAC